rnacentral:misc_RNA from 1 species
UCUCCGUUGGUGAACCAGCGGAGGGAUCAUUACAGAGUUGCAAAACUCCCAACCCUUUGUGAACGAACCUGACAGUUGCUUCGGCAGAAGGCCCUUCACUGGGCAGCCCGCCGGAGGGUCUCCAAACUCUUAUGUCUUUAGUGGUUUUCUCCUCUGAGUGACACAUAAACAAAUAAAUAAAAACUUUCAACAACGGAUCUCUUGGUUCUG